rnacentral:rRNA from 1 species
AUGCUCCGGGACGUCGUAACCCGUGGCAAGCGGCCUCGCUAUCGCUACAGCCGCUUCCUGAACAUCGCCACCCACGAGCAGAUCCGGAUGACAAUCCGGGGGCUGGACGGCCGCGGCGGCCGACUACAAAUCGCGUGCACGUGCGUGGGCCUGCUUGUCCUGGUAAACAAGAGGACCAACGGCGUGUUCGUGCUCAACCCGAUCACCGGCGCCCGCGCCGAUCUCCCGCCGCUGGGCUCGCUGCUGUCCAGCAACACGCGGGACUUUGUUCUCCCCAGAGCGCCCGGAGCGGGCCCCCUGAGUGCGGAGCUGACCAGUGAUUCGGCGGUCGUGAUCAACUUCGGCGGCGGCGGGUACCAGCGGAUGGGCAUCGCGAGACCUGGCGAUGAGCACUGGACCAAGGUGGAGUGCGAACACCGGAUCGGCGGCUCGGUCCUGUCGUUCGCAGGCGACGUCUACUGUUUCACGGCGGGUCCAAGUCGAACUCCCUUGGUGCUGGAGACCUCGCCAGACAAUCCGCCGAGGCUAGUCAAGUCCGACAAACAUCCUGACGACUUUAUAAAUGGUUUUAAUGAUGCUAUCAGUUUAAUGCUAGCCUAG